rnacentral:rRNA from 1 species
GACGAACGCUGGCGGCGUGCUUAACACAUGCAAGUCGAACGGAAAGGCCCUGCUUUUGUUGGGUGCUCGAUUGGCGAACGGGUGAGUAACACGUGAGUAACCUGCCCUUGACUUUCGGAUAACUUCACGAAACUGGGGCUAAUACCGGAUAGUAUCUCCUGCUGCAUGGUGGGGGUUGGUAAGUUUCGGCGGUUGUGGAUGGACUCGCGGCUUCUCAGCUUGUUGGUGGGGUAGUGGUAUACCAAGGGUUUGACGGGUACCCGGCCUGAGAGGGUUACCGGCCACAUUGGGACUGAGAUACGGACCAGACUCCUACGGGAGGCAGCGGUGGGGAAUAUUGCACAAUGGGGGGAAGCCUGAUGCAGAAACGCCGCGUGCGGGAUGACGGCCUACGGGUUGUAAACAGCUUUGGCAUGUGCCGAAGAGUGAGUGACGGUAACGGGUAAAGAAGCACCGGCUAACUACGUG